rnacentral:rRNA from 1 species
AUUUGUCUUUAUCGGGCUCGGCCCGAUCCUCCCACCCUUUGUGUACCUACCUCUGUUGCUUUGGCGGGCCGCGGUCCCCCGCGGCCGCCCCCCCUCCCCGGGGGGUGGCUAGUGCCCGCCAGAGGACCAUCAAACUCCAGUCAGUGAACGUCGCAGUCUGAAAAAACAUUCAAUAAACUAAAACUUUCAACAACGGAUCUCUUGGUUCUGGCAUCGAUGAAGAACGCAGCGAAAUGCGAUAAGUAAUGUGAAUUGCAGAAUUCAGUGAAUCAUCGAAUCUUUGAACGCACAUUGCGCCCCUUGGUAUUCCGAGGGGCAUGCCUGUUCGAGCGUCAUUACAACCCUCAAGCUCUGCUUGGUAUUGGGCACCGCCCUUCUUCGGGCGCGCCUCAAAGACCUCGGCGGUGGCUGUCUUGCCUCAAGCGUAGUAGAAUACACCUCGCUUCGGAGCGCAGGGCGUCGCCCGCCGGACGAACCUUCUGAACUUUUCUCAAGGUUGACCUCGGAUCAGGUAGGGAUACCCGCUGAACUUAAGCAUAUCAAAA